GACGAACGCUGGCGGCGUGCUUAACACAUGCAAGUCGAACGCUGAAGCACCAGCUUGCUGGUGUGGAUGAGUGGCGAACGGGUGAGUAAUACGUGAGUAACCUGCCCUUGACUCUGGGAUAAGCCCGGGAAACUGGGUCUAAUACUGGAUGCUACAUGUCACCGCAUGGUGGUGUGUGGAAAGGGUUUACUGGUCUUGGAUGGGCUCACGGCCUAUCAGCUUGUUGGUGAGGUAAUGGCUCACCAAGGCGACGACGGGUAGCCGGCCUGAGAGGGUGACCGGCCACACUGGGACUGAGAAACGGCCCAGACUCCUACGGGAGGCAGCAGUGGGGAAUAUUGCACAAUGGGCGAAAGCCUGAUGCAGCGACGCCGCGGGAGGGAUGACGGCCUUCGGGUUGUAAACCUCUUUCAGCAGGGAAGAAGCCACAAGUGACGGUACCUGCAGAAGAAGCGCCGGCUAACUACGUG
rnacentral:rRNA from 1 species